UUAAGUCAAAUUUGUAUGGAGUUGAAAUGCUAGGGGCACUGUUCCAACUGCAUACAAAUUUGAGUUA
rnacentral:pre_miRNA from 1 species